GUCGGCUGCAGGAGAGGAGAGGGAGCCGGAAUCGCAGCCGAACCUAUCUCGCCUGCCCCGCAUGCGGGCCUGCGUGAAGUCAAGAGUGCUGGACUCCCGCGAAAGUGGCGGUGAGGCGCUUGGGCCCUGGCCUAGAGAUGCUGAAACUGAGGAUUUUUGACCUAAGAGAGACGAAUUGGACUUAGAAGUUUUUCUAGGUUUUCAAGGUGGAAGCUUUGGCUUUCUGGCUCACAGGGACGUUAUCGGGACCACCACGCAGAAUGAGUACCAAAAAAAUUAUUCUCACCAGGUUGUUCUUUCUUCCUGGAUCCAAACCACCGGAGCUGCACUUUCUGGUUGGGAAGGGCAGGCAACGAUGGAUGUGGUGACUGAAUGGCAGCAAAAAACUUUUCAGUCAAAUGUUCAAAUCGUAAAACUGUCAACUUUUUUCCUGCAACGAGGAGCAAUGAGAGAAAGAUGGAAAACUACAGAUCAAUGUCGUUUUCAGCAGAGAAAGAAGUUUCUGGCAAGCAGAGCUUUUUAACAUGGAAGAGGCUGCGUUGGGAGGCAAUGAACUCCUCAUCACUGGGAGAGGUUCAUGCAGAAACUGGAUAAUCAGCUGCCAGAAUGUCUUCUCCAGUUCAACACAAUUAAGCACUUGUUACAUGCACCGGCCUAUAGACUGAAAGGGGAUUCCUCCAUUGAGUGGGAGGUUGGGUUUGAUAAUCCCACAGGACCCAUUACAAUUCAAAGAUUCUCUAAUUGAAUGAUUUUAUCACAUCUUGGAUCAAAACUGUUUUUCACACAGAUGACAAGAACAGAGUUUCACCGCUUUAUAAUGUUUGAUGUUUAAUAAUAUAAGACAUAGUUUUAAGAGCUCAGCUUUUGGAGGCAGUGAUCUGAGUUCAGAUGCUGGUUCUGCCACAUAUGGGCUAUGUGACUUUGAGCAAAUGAAUGAACUAAUCUGAACCUCAGUUUUUCCCAACUGUAAGAUGAGGGUGCUAAUACUUGAAACCAGCUCAUAAUGCAGUGAGGAUUAAGUGAGAUGAUCUACAUAAAGUGCUUAGCAUGAUGUUUAGAACAUGGUAAAUGCUCAAUAAACAUUACCACCAGGCUUUA
rnacentral:lncRNA from 1 species